GAUGAACGCUGGCGGCGUGCCUAAUACAUGCAAGUCGAGCGAACAGACGAGGAGCUUGCUCCUCUGACGUUAGCGGCGGACGGGUGAGUAACACGUGGAUAACCUACCUAUUAGACUGGGAUAACUUCGGGAAACCGGAGCCAAUACCGGAUAAUAUAUUCAACCGCAUGGUUCAAUAGUGAAUGACGGUUUUGCUGUCACUUAUAGAUGGAUCCGCGGCGCAUUAGCUAGUUGGUAAGGUAACGGCUUACCAAGGCAACGAUGCGUAGCCGACCUGAGAGGAUGAUCAGCCACACUGGAACUGAGACACGGUCCAGACUCCUACGGGAGGCAGCAGUAGGGAAUCUUGCGCAAUGGGCGAAAGCCUGGCGGAGCAACGCCGCGUGAGUGAUGAAGGUCUUCGGGUCGUAAAACUCUGUUAUUAGGGAAGAACAAAUGUGUAAGUAACUAUGGACGUCUUGACGGUACCUAAUCAGAAAGCCACGGCUAACUACGUG
rnacentral:rRNA from 1 species